UACGUAGGGUGCGAGCGUUAAUCGGAAUUACUGGGCGUAAAGCGUGCGCAGGCGGCGGCUCAAGUCAGGUGUGAAAUCCCCGGGCUUAACCUGGGAAUUGCGCUUGAAACUAGGUCGCUAGAGUGUGGCAGAGGGGGAGGUGAAUUCCGACGUGUAGCAGUGAAAUGCGUAGAGAUGUGGAGGAACACCGAUGGCGAAGGCAGCCCCCUGGGUCAACCACGUGACGCUCAUGCACGAAAGCGUGGGGAGCGAAACAGG
rnacentral:rRNA from 1 species